rnacentral:lncRNA from 1 species
CAUCCUACGCUCUCUUAAAGCAAGCAAGCCAGCUUCAGUACAGAUUGCCUUAAUAUCAGCUCCAGAAAACUCAUCCUUUGUCAUGACAAAUUCUUCCAGGUUGACAUCAUCUGCCAGUGUCAUUCUAGAGGUGUGUAUCUAAAGAAUUUAAUAAGAAACGAAAAACUCAGCAAAAAUCAACAAAAGGAGAAAAAGCAUGAACUGAUACACUGUACUAACUACUAAGCAUAAUCAUAUUCUUGAAAAUGACAAACCUGAAAAAUUCGACGUCUUGUUUUAAUAUCUGGAAGAGGGAAUUCAAUCUUCCUAUCAAUACGACCAGGUCGAAGCAAGGCUGGAUCGAGGCUUUCGAUUCUGUUGGUUGCAAGAAUGACUUUAACAUCCCCCCUUGAGUCAAAACCAUCUAACUGGUUCAGCAACUCCAACAUGGUUCUCUGUAUUUCACGCUCACCGCCAGAAUGAGCAUCAUAUCUACAAUGACCAAACAUAAUAGUUUGAUAAGUUUAAUCAUCAUUUGCAUACAAUGGAAAAGAAAGGCGGGAAUAAUCAUUCUCAUUUAUAUACCUUUUGGUGCCAACUGCAUCUAUCUCAUCAAUGAAGACUAUAGAAGGAGAAAGUUCAUCCGCCACUCUGAACAGUUCUCUGACAAGUUUUGGGCCAUCACCCAAAUAUUUCUGAAUCAACUCACUUCCAACAACACGCAGGAAAGUUGCUGAUGUUGAGUUAGCCACAGCCUGAUAUUAGAAAUUUAGAACCAUCAUAAACAGUCUGGAAAAAAGAAUUUCUGGACUAACAGAUGUAGAUUACAACAGCAGCAUUCAAGUUACUAUCACAUAACAACUAAACUGUAAGAACUUUAUAGUUGCAAUAGAAAUCAAGAAACAUAAUCUCAAUACCAAAAUGGUACUAAAUGAAAUUUUGUAAAUGAACAAAGAGACGAUGAAAAAUAUUUAAUCUAUAUGUAUCAUCAAAAACAAUAGAGGUGUAUACUGUAUAUAGAUUAUAUAGAUAGACAGAGAUAUCACCACUUCCCGGCCAAACUGAAAUACAUAAAACUGGUACAGGGUCACAUGCUAAACUGAAAUACAUAAAAAUCAACAAACCUAAAAUAAAAGAAUGCUCUCACCUUGGCAAGUAAAGUUUUACCAGUUCCUGGCUCCCCAUAAAGUAUGACUCCCUUGGGAGGUCUAAUGCCAAUAUCUUCAUACAGUUCAGGAUGUGUCAGAGGUAGUUCCACAGCUUCUUUAAUUUCUUGGAUUUGUGAAUCUAAACCGCCAAUAUCAGCAUAGGAUUCCAAAGGAGCUUUUUCAACUUUCAUGACAGAAACCAUAGGAUCAACUUCAUCCUGAAGAAGCCCAACAACUGACAGAACCUGCAAAAGACAUUUUAGUUCCAUCACCUUUAUAUCCAACCAAAAACAACAUAUCCUGAUAUCAAAAUAUCCAGAAAUUAAGAAGUAUGUGAACAUAAGCCUCCGAGUAAAGCAUAUCAUCAAAUCUGAUGCAAAGUGAAAAUGCAAAAAGGUAAGGAUUAGAAAUAACAUAGUAAACUAAAAAGCACAAAGCUAAAAUAAUCAGUGUCUAUUAGCUAAAUUAGACGAUUCAGGAUGGCCAAUACAUAAUAAUACAACAAAACCUUCCAGACUGAAAAUAAUAUAACAUUGACCAAGACGUAGUUUGUCUGGUUUCUCCAACCAGUCAUAAACAAGUCAAAAAUGAAAGUUUGACUCAGCCUAAAACCUGAAAACAGUGUAAUAGUUUAAGUUAGACUACAAGUUAUGAGCAACAAAUCAUGAGAAAAGAAAAGUCUCCCAAACAGCUACAAGUAAAUUUUUCAACAAACUGUAUUACAACCUCUGAAGCUCUCCAAGUAAAUCCUACUCUUUUCAUUUCCUCUAUCCUCUUUUCAUUGUCUUUUCCCUUCUUUCUAGCCAAAUAGAUUUCUUUUGCUAAUAUAUCUGGAGCACUGCUAGUGAUCAUGUUACCUAAGGGUGUAAAACCUUCAAAGCAUAAAACUCAUGAUGAUAUAUGUCAUGUUAACCUCAUAAGUUUCUGAUGCAGGUUACAGUCAAGAGUAUUUGUGGUGAUCUAUGUCAAAUUAUCUUCAUUGGCUUGUGAUACAAUAGUCCAAACAUGAUCUUCCAAUCUUCAGCUAAACAAGUUCAUCAUACCUAAAUACCCGAGAACUGUGCAAAGACGUUGCACAGUUGCAACUUAAUUCAAACAAUACGACAGAAAAUAAGGUAUACAAAGAGUUCGACACCCCAAAUCCCAUCCCAAACACCGGAAAUUACCGCAAAUCCUAAACCAUCCGUCGCAACCCCAAAACAGCAAUCAGGUGAAAAGAAAACACAAAAACUGACCUUGUUGUGCAUAAGGAUGGCACAUCCCGGCUCCAGUUGAUCCUUAUCGACAAAGGACAGGAUGCUGACGUAGUAUUCCGGCCCAACCGACGACGAAACGAUGGCGUGGUUCUCGUCGAUGAGCUCCUCGAGGUUCCCGACACUCAUGGGCGACCCCCGGAGGUCGUCGACCUUGGAUCGGUCCUCCUCGUUCUUCUCCUCCUGGGGGCGGAGGCGCUCCUGGUUGGCGACGAACUCCUCCUCCAUGAGGAGGUAGUCCUUGACGCGCUCGAGCUUGAGUAGCCGUAGGCGGCACUUAGAAAGCGGGGUGACGGCCGGGAGACGGGCGGCGGCCUCGGGCCCCUUCUGCCUGCGCUGCUUCCUUCCCACGCGGGACGGCGGCGCCGCCGGCUCGAACUUCUUGUCCUUCUUGUCGCCGUCCCGCUUCCGAUCACCGGGGAGGCCCUGCUUGCCCAUGCCGCCGGGGGUUCCCUGGCCCAUCGAUCCUAGGGUUUCGAGGAUACCGAGAGGGUUCGAGAUCGAGGAUGAGGAGAGAAAGAAGGUGGUGCCAAUUUGGGGGCCGAUCUGAGGCAUUAUGUACUUCCCUUCAAAAGACACGCAUAGAUGACGUGUAAGGAUCGGAGCCGUUCGAUUAUUUUUCGUUUCUUUUCUUUUCUUUUUUAUUGAACCCGAGUGAAUCUCACCGUUUAAAUCGAAUUGAUGUAAAAGAAUAUAAGGUAAUUUUCCUAUAAAACAUUUACCUUUUGGAUUUUUUUAUCAUCUAUAUCUUCAUUUUAAUUUUCCUGCCUCCAAAUAAAAAUUACUUAAAAUCGUUCCUAAAAUUUUUUUUUUGUAUGUUAUAGUAUUUUGUCCAUCAUAAUAAAAACAUGGUAAAAUCUUAUUUUUAAAAAUAUUAUAAAUAAGUAUAUCUCAUAUUAUGAUUCAAAUAGGUAUUUAUAAUAGUUUAAUAAUAACAUAAUCCAAAUAGAAAUAAAAAAAAUUAGUUUGUUAUAAUAUUUUGACCAUCUCAAUAAAAACACUAUAUGAUCCACUCAAAAAUAUUAUAUAUGACACAAGUGGACUUCUAUAUCAAUAAUGACAAUGAAAGAAACAAAAUUAUGAUGGUACUGUUUUUUUUCAAUGGCAUUUGAAGUAUUUUUAAUUUUUCAAUAGAAUAUUAUAAAUACUGUUAAAAAUUGCUGUAAACGAAUCAAAUGAUAAAACAAAUAACAGCUUAAAAUUGGUAAAAUAUGAGCAAAGAAAAUUGAUAGAAAAAUUUUUGAAAUAUAUUUUGGAUAUUUUUUCAAAUUAAGGUUACUGUUUGGAACAAAAUAAAAUGGGGGUAUCUUAAGAAAAAUACCUAAAAUAUGAGUUUUUUCUAAAAAAACCCAAAAAAAAUAUGAUCGAUAUUUUUAAUAAAAAUAAAAUUCAUAUAUAUGACAUGAUUUUUUUUCUAGUAUUUUCACACUACCAACUAAAUUUGAGAUCAAUUUUGAUUAAAAAUUAGAUAUUUAAAUAGUUAGUAAGCAUUACAGCUCCCUAGUCAUGGUAUCUACAUUGAGAUGGGUUCAAAUGAGAGAAACAUGAGCUUGUCUAAUGCUAAAGGGAGAACACAUUACAAUAACAUUGUUCUUGCAAUAGACUAACAACCCUCAUAACAUACAUUAACAGUGUAAUAUAAUGUAAGCAGAUGAGAGAGCCAUGUCCACAUCACCUUUUCAUAUUCAACGAAGAGAUACCAAAUUAGAACAUAAAAUUUGCUAUAAGAAAUAAAAUUGGGACAAUCAUAAGAAUCAAUCGAUCUUUUUCCAAUAUAUAUAUAUAGAGAAUUCUGAACUCCAUGUUGAGGAUGCAUAGUGUCCCAGAAGAACAACGUCCCCGCUGAACAUUAAGUGUGAGCAAUUUUACCUGUGGCCAAAACAAAUCAGUUAAAUAGAGUGACACCAAAACUACCCGAACAAAUUAAAGUCAAUAAGUUGAGACCACAACUGUAGUGAAAAAGAUUUCCAAAUAACCACAAGGAUAAGAACAGUGAAAGCAAUUAGCAAACUCACGAAUAAACUGGAGACAUUUAAUAACUUUCUUAACAAUGGUAUUCGGAGGAUAAGUGGGCCAUGGACUAACAAAUUCCCAAGACAUAUCUCAGACAACCUUGACCACAUGUAGUGUUAAACAUACUAGGAAAACUGCCAGUGAGUUGAUGAUCCUUCUUUACAUUUCUGCUGAAACACCAACAGAGGUAGUUUGAAUGCAAAUAGCAGCAAUGCUAUCGAAAGCACUAGGUGCUAUACAGCAGCAAGGUCCCUUAUAAUUUUACUUUCAUUCGGGAUCGUUUUAAUCUUCUAAGAUUUCUACAUUUUUCACUCUGCCUGAAAUGAUGUGAACUGCAACAUUAAAUUGAUUAAUUAAGCUGCAGAUGAGAGUUGACGUCAAAGGAAAGAAGAAGAGGGAGCACAGAUAACUAUAAAGACAGAGUGCGACGGUGGAAGCAAACAAAGGCAAGAGAAAAGAGAGAGGAAGGAUAGGAGAGAAGCAGCAAAUGGUUUAUGACUACAAGGUGAGACAAGAGAGAGGGCAGCGAAGGCAGUGACAGUGGAUGUGGCUAGAGAGAGGAAAGGAGAGAAGAUGAAGGGAGAGAGACUAAAGAGGGAAGAAAGGACAGCAGCUGCGGGGGAUUUAUCAUGCAUGAAGAGGCAAGAGAGAAGACAAGCAGCAACAAAGCACCCAUAGAGAGUGGAGAGAAAGAAGACCAAGGGAAGAGAGAUGAGGAUAAAUAUAUUAGACAGAGAGAGGAGUUGUGACCGAUGAUGAAAGUCAAACAGCAAAACAUGUCAUUUCUAUUUUUGAUUUCUUACUAGAGAAGUCAAGCACCAACUUAAAGGUUUGAAGCUAGUUUUAAAUAAAACAUGUUAAUAAAUUUCAUCAUGAAAUGAACACAAUUUUCUUAAAAAGGUCAUUUAAGCUAAAACAUUUCUUACUCUUCAUCUGUGAUUAUCAAGACCAAAAAACAAAAGCCUUAAAAAAAUCACAAUAAUCAAAAGCAACAAAAAAGAUCAGCCUUCACAUCAAAAGGAAAGAGGAACAGUAACUCACAUGUAGAGUCCCUCUGGUACCCCUUCCUUCUUCUUAAACAUUACCUUCUCCUUGGCCUUCUUAAAGUCUGCAUGAGUUACCUAAGCAAAAAGUGAUGCAGCAACAAGUUACAGCCAUGUAUAGCUGAAAUCACUAAGUACAAAAUAAAGCAAACAGGCAUUAGCUUUAGCCCUCAAUCAAAUGCAGGAUAAAAGUCAGGUAGUCCAACACUAAAGAGUUGCAGUCCAGUAGAAUCUAAUCCCGUGAGUCUCUCUAAGAAGCCUAGUUGAUGUUUUUAUGCUUUUAUAACACAUUGGCGACUUACCCUCUGAGACAACCACCGGAUAGUUUCAUUGUUAAUAUUUCCCUACUAAAUCUGAUCUGUCAAAUUUAAUAUAUAGUUAUAUACAAACCAAGAAAUUAACGAAUUUGGCGGAUGUUUUUUCGAGCUUCCUUGAAUGAAACUAAAAAAAACGAAAAUAAUCUGAGUCCAUAUCAACACAAAACGUUUCAAAUUUUUCAUACAGUUCAACAUGAACAAAGUGAGCUAACAUGCAACUGAGACCUAAACAGGGGAGGUUUCUGAUUCUGUCAACGAACGGUUUUACCAGUAAACCAAUCUAAGUUUGCCUACAAUGAGCAGACCUCUUCCAGACCAGAUUUGAACUGUUUAGAGUUCAAACUCUUGCCUGUUUGAUGGUUUGGGGCUUUGAAUGAUUGGUUUCUAUCACAAUCUCAAUUCUCAACGCUAGGGAAGAAAGUGGAGACAAAAGAAGGAAAACAGAAACCAGAACACCCUGCCACUUCCAGCCAAGGAAUCACCACAUUUGUUUCUUCUCAACACUAGAAAAAAGACUAGAGAAAAAAAGUCCCUACAGAUGGAGGGGAGACUGUACCACCAUAAAGCUAUGUAACAUUUCUUUCCCCACAAAAUUGAAAACUAUCUUCCUUUUUUAUCCUGAAGGGAGAAGAUUCCUGUUCCAGCAGCAUGACAUGAACCAUUCCCUACACUAUCAUGUGAGACUAUUGGAGGUUGAAAUACAUUCCAAAAGCAUGUAGGCAUCUCAAGGAAAAGAACUUAUGACCAAAAUGAUUACAACUGACGACAUUAUUAAAGAAACCAAAUGUUCUCUGCUUUGACCAUCAGAUAAGAAUACUAAUCUACAAUAUUAUGGCAAAUAUGACUUACCUUCAUCCUACGCUCUCUUAAAGCAAGCAAGCCAGCUUCAGUACAGAUUGCCUUAAUAUCAGCUCCAGAAAACUCAUCCUUUGUCAUGACAAAUUCUUCCAGGUUGACAUCAUCUGCCAGUGUCAUUCUAGAGGUGUGUAUCUAAAGAAUUUAAUAAGAAAAGAAAAACUCAGCAAAACUCAACAAAAGGAGAAAAAGAAUGAACUGAUACAUUGUACUAACUACUAAGCAUAAUCAUAUUCUUGAAAGUG